rnacentral:rRNA from 1 species
UACGGAGGUGGCAAGCGUUGCUCGGAAUCACUGGGCGUAAAGGGCGCGUAGGCGGGGAGGUAAGUCGGGUGUGAAAUCCCUCGGCCCAACCGAGGAACUGCGCCCGAGACUGCUUCUCUUGAGUCCCGGAGAGGAAGAUGGAAUUCCCGGUGUAGCGGUGAAAUGUGUAGAGAUCGGGAGGAACACCGGUGGCGAAGGCGGUCUUCUGGACGGUGACUGACGCUGAGGCGCGAAGGCCAGGGGAGCAAACGGG